GUAUUUGAUUUAAAGGCACUAAGGCCCAUUAAUGACAUUCUGUUACAUUCAUGUGGGGUAUAUAUUAAAAACAUAGAUCGGAAAUGCAAGGAAAGCUAGCUUGCGCACAGCAGUCCUCAAACCGAGUUUCCUCGAGAGGUAUCCAGAUCUACAAAGGGUGCACAGGUGGUAAAAAAUGGUGGCAGGCGUGCACAUGCUCCAAGGAGCCAGCAACAACCUGACCAAGUUUAUUCAAUAAUGAUCCUUCCGCAGGUUCACCUACGGAAA
rnacentral:misc_RNA from 1 species